UACGAAGGGGGCUAGCGUUGUUCGGAUUUACUGGGCGUAAAGCGCACGUAGGCGGAUUGUUAAGUCAGGGGUGAAAUCCUGGAGCUCAACUCCAGAACUGCCUUUGAUACUGGCAAUCUUGAGUCCGGAAGAGGUGAGUGGAACUCCUAGUGUAGAGGUGGAAUUCGUAGAUAUUAGGAAGAACACCAGUGGCGAAGGGCGGCUCACUGGUCCGGUACUGACGCUGAGGUGCGAAAGCGUGGGGAGCAAACAGGG
rnacentral:rRNA from 1 species